GCUGUGAUCAAGGGAAUAAACACACUCCUGAGCACAAUACAUUUACCCUGGCUUGGUUUGUGGCCUCCUGCACUGGUUGGGAAGAAGUGGGAUCAGCAGGGAGAAGUGCUGGGAGAACUUAAUGAUGACUUAAUGUGAGAAGGCUAUUGAAUUUCUGGGACAUUGUUCACAGAAUUAUCUACACUGUUUGAAGGGGUCACUGCAAACUGGUUCCACCUGGCUGCAAACAGCUGUGCUGGUGUAAUUAUGCCAGACUGAUAUGAGAAACGGGCACAAGAAUUGGAUCAUUCAGAAUUUAAGGGUCUCUCUGAUUUUGUUCCACCCAGAAGAGGGGAGAUGUGGUCUGAAACACCAACAGCAGAGCAAUGACCUGUGGAGGGAAGGUGAGGUUCAGUUAUGGAGAAAUGUCAGCAGAUCAGCAACUGGGUCACCACUAAAUUGAUGUAUUCUUACCUUCUGCCUCUGCAAGAGCUGAGGGCAGGGCAGGAUGCAUCUGGAGACGAUUAAUAGCCUAAAUUGACACCCACAAAAUCUCAGCUCCAUGACAUGGGAAGCUCUUCAUCUACACCGAGACCUCAGUGAAGCUGUUCAUUCUCACCUGUGGCUUUGCAGAGACAGAGUAAGAAAUCACUCUCAGAGUCAGAAACCCUUGUCUCUGUGAGUAGCACCAGGUCAGGUAACUCACAUUUGAUCUUGGCACUGUUAUUUGCUGCAGGCCCUUGGCCCAGCUUGCUCCUCUGCUUGCUCCUCCUCUCCUCUGCAGGUACCACCUUGGCACCUCCUAGGUUUGGCUCCACCAGCACAGAGCUGCACCUUACUGUCAGGCCAACAUGGGCAAUCCUCUCACAGCACUCUUCAACAAUUCCAUGAUGGAAAAUCAUUUCAAACCGUGAUAAACUUUUUUUGGUUUUCCAAAAGUAGACUACCUAGCAAGUUUUGCUGUAGGAGUGGUUCCAGUCUCAGCAGAGCACCCUCCUGUUCUCAGGGCCUGGAUCUGCAAAAAGCUUUCUGAGAAGCAGGUCAGAAAGUGCCAAAAUAACCCAUGCUUUUCAAAAUCAUACAGCAACAGUUGAAUAUGCUAGAGAGGAAUCAGGUCAUUGCCUGGUGGCAGAUGGGCUCCCAAAUUCCUGAACUGUUUUAAAUGGUGCUCCCAGGCACUGUUCUUGCUCUCUUCCCCUUGCUUUUCCUGCCCUGGAUCCUGCUGCUGCCUGCAAAAGAGCAAAUGUGUGCAGGAACAACAGGCUUGUUUCAUGGAAACUGUGUCCAUGCUGAAGAUAUGACUCCUCUUAAUGCUUUUGGCAGAUCAAGACCAAAAUACUGAUCAUCUUCAAGAUUGUUAUUGCCCUUGUAUAAUCCAUAUGAUUGCUGAUUAAAUCGAGGAUAUAUUGCAAUUAGACUCUGAUUUGGCACAUGGAAAAAUGGGAGCUGAACAAGCAUGUCAUAAGCAAUGAGGAGUCAGGAAUUUCCCUUGGGACUAAGUGCUCAGUUCUAAGAAUAUCCUUGAAACUCCUGACUUUCAGUUCCAGGUUAUACACCUCCAAGAAGUGCAAGUGCUGCCUGUCAACACUACAGAGCCAGGAGAAAUCCUGUUUUCCCUCCUAUCCUAUUACUCAGCACAGGGUUAGUCAUAACUGCCCAAAAUAAAUGUAACUUUAUAACAUAAGGCCUUCACUAUGCCUUGCUAUCCAUCUCUCUGGAUUAUUUAAUUAUUUCCUUUUCUGCCUUAC